rnacentral:rRNA from 1 species
UCCUACGGGAGGCAGCAGUGGGGGAUAUUGCACAAUGGGGGAAACCCUGAUGCAGCGACGCCGCGUGGAGGAAGAAGGUUUUCGGAUUGUAAACUCCUGUCGUUAGGGACGAUAAUGACGGUACCUAACAAGAAAGCACCGGCUAACUACGUGCCAGCAGCCGCGGUAAAACGUAGGGUGCAAGCGUUGUCCGGAAUUACUGGGUGUAAAGGGAGCGCAGGCGGGAAGACAAGUUGGAAGUGAAAACCAUGGGCUCAACCCAUGAAUUGCUUUCAAAACUGUUUUUCUUGAGUAGUGCAGAGGUAGAUGGAAUUCCCGGUGUAGCGGUGGAAUGCGUAGAUAUCGGGAGGAACACCAGUGGCGAAGGCGGUCUACUGGGCACCAACUGACGCUGAGGCUCGAAAGCAUGGGUAGCAAACAGGAUUAGAUACCCUGGUAGUCCAUGCCGUAAACGAUGAUUACUAGGUGUUGGGGGAUUGACCCCCUCAGUGCCGCAGUUAACACAAUAAGUUAUCCACCA